rnacentral:rRNA from 1 species
AAGGAAUAUUGCUCAAUGGGAGAAAUCCUGAAGCAGCAACGCCGCGUGGAGGAUGAAGGGUCUAUGACUUGUAAACUCCUGUAAAGAAGGAAAAAAUUCCCAUUAGAUGGGAGAUGAUGGUACUUCUGGAGUAAGCCCCGGCUAACUACGUGCCAGCAGCCGCGGUAAUACGUAGGGGGCAAGCGUUGUCCGGAUUUACUGGGUGUAAAGGGUGCUCAGGCGGAUUUGUAAGUCAGAGGUGAAAUCUUACAGCUUAACUGUGAAACUGCCUUUGAGACUGCAAGCCUAGAGUAUGGAAGAGAGUGAUGGAAUAUCUGGUGUAGCAGUGAAAUGCGUAGAUAUCAGAUAGAACACCAAUGGCGAAGGCAGUCACUUGGUCCAUUACUGACGCUAAAGCACGAAAGCGUGGGUAGCAAACA